AUUGAACGCUGGCGGCAUGCUUUACACAUGCAAGUCGAACGGUAACAGGUUAAGCUGACGAGUGGCGAACGGGUGAGUAAUGCAUCGGAACGUGCCCGGUCGUGGGGGAUAACGCAGCGACAGCUGCGCUAAUACCGCAUACGAUCUGAGGAUGAAAGCGGGGGACCGUAAGGCCUCGCGCGAUCGGAGCGGCCGAUGUCAGAUUAGGUAGUUGGUGGGGUAAAGGCGCACCAAGCCGAGGAUCUGUAGCGGGUCUGAGAGGACGACCAGCCACACUGGGACGGAGACACGGCCCAGACUCCUACGGGAGGCAGCAGUGGGGAAUUUUGGACAAUGGGCGCAAGCCUGAUCCAGCAAUGCCGCGUGCAGGAAGAAGGCCUUCGGGUUGUAAACUGCUUUUGUACGGAGCGAAAAGGCUCUCUCUAAUACAGGGGGCUCAUGACGGUACCGUAAGAAUAAGCACCGGCUAACUACGUGCCAGCCGCCGCAGUAA
rnacentral:rRNA from 1 species